UACGGAGGGUGCAAGCGUUAUCCGGAUUUACUGGGUUUAAAGGGUGCGUAGGUGGGUCUGUAAGUCAGUGGUGAAAUCUCCGGGCUUAACUCGGAAACUGCCAUUGAUACUAUAGGUCUUGAAUUAUCUGGAGGUGAGCGGAAUAUGUCAUGUAGCGGUGAAAUGCUUAGAUAUGACAUAGAACACCAAUUGCGAAGGCAGCUCACUACGGAUAUAUUGACACUGAGGCACGAAAGCGUGGGGAGCAAACAGG
rnacentral:rRNA from 1 species